GCGGCGGACGGGUGCGUAACACGUAGGAAUCUGCCCGGUAGUGGGGGAUAGCCCGGAGAAAUUCGGAUUAAUACCGCAUACGCCCUAAGGGGGAAAGCAGGGGCCCCGUUCUUUUUUAAAGAGUGGACCUUGCGCUAUCGGAUGAGCCUGCGUCGGAUUAGCUAGUUGGUGGGGUAAAGGCCCACCAAGGCGACGAUCCGUAGCUGGUCUGAGAGGAUGAUCAGCCACACUGGGACUGAGACACGGCCCAGACUCCUACGGGAGGCAGCAGUGGGGAAUAUUGCACAAUGGGCGAAAGCCUGAUGCAGCCAUGCCGCGUGUGUGAAGAAGGCCCUAGGGUUGUAAAGCACUUUCAGUGGGGAGGAAAGGGAGAUUGCUAAUAUCAGUCUCCUGUGACGUUACCCACAGAAGAAGCACCGGCUAACUCCGUGCCAGCAGCCGCGGUAAUACGGAGGGUGCGAGCGUUAAUCGGAAUUACUGGGCGUAAAGCGUGCGUAGGCGGCUUUUUAAGUUGGAUGUGAAAGCCCCGGGCUAAACCUGGGAACUGCAUCCAAAACUGGAAGGCUUGAGUGCGAGAGAGGAGUGUGGAAUUUCCUGUGUAGCG
rnacentral:rRNA from 1 species